CACAGCCCAUAGAGUAUAGGGUUGCCAGUUUUGAUUAGACAUAUUCCUGCAGAUUUUGUCAUGUGACAUAAUCUUUAAUUAAAGAUUAAUCUUUAAUUCCUGGAGAAUCCAGAACAAUCGUGGAGGGUUGGCAACCCGUGUAUGUGUAUGCACUGGGGGAAUAAAAGGGUAGUUUAGUCCUUUUUGCUAAUGUUUCCUUCCUGGCCUCUGCACCUCCCCGUCUUUGCCUGAGGUGAAAGAAUGUUCCCGUCAUGGCAAACGUUCUGGUUGCAAUUUUUUACCUUGCUGUUUCACUGUAUGUUUAUAAUACUUUUUAUUUGGAUAUACAAUGCCUUGUGCUCUAGUGCCCAAUCCAAUCGUUCAAAAAUCAUGAGUCAGGCCUAAAAAUUGUGAUUGGCUUACAUUA